rnacentral:rRNA from 1 species
CCUACGGGGGGCUGCAGUGGGGAAUAUUGCACAAUGGGCGCAAGCCUGAUGCAGCCAUGCCGCGUGUAUGAAGAAGGCCUUCGGGUUGUAAAGUACUUUCAGCGGGGAGGAAGGCGAUAAGGUUAAUAACCUUGUCGAUUGACGUUACCCGCAGAAGAAGCACCGGCUAACUCCGUGCCAGCAGCCGCGGUAAUACGGAGGGUGCAAGCGUUAAUCGGAAUUACUGGGCGUAAAGCGCACGCAGGCGGUCUGUCAAGUCGGAUGUGAAAUCCCCGGGCUCAACCUGGGAACUGCAUUCGAAACUGGCAGGCUUGAGUCUUGUAGAGGGGGGUAGAAUUCCAGGUGUAGCGGUGAAAUGCGUAGAGAUCUGGAGGAAUACCGGUGGCGAAGGCGGCCCCCUGGACAAAGACUGACGCUCAGGUGCGAAAGCGUGGGGAGCAAACAGGAUUAGAUACCCGAGUAGUCC